rnacentral:lncRNA from 1 species
GUUUUUUUUUUCCAGUUCGUAAGUUCCCACAUUCACUCUUAAGCAGACAGGUCCGUGCGAAUAGGUGCUGAGAGGCGGGAGCGAUGGUGGUCAAGGUGCAGGAGCCCGACGAGCUUGUACAGAGCGGUGGAGCGGCUCACGGGCUAUUGAUGAGACUUUUGACUCACCUCUCUUGCGUCCACGGCCUUCGCCUUUUCCUCGAACAGACCGUACGUUAUACGCACGCGGCCGAGCGCCCUACAGAGCCACGGUGGAGUCCUUGUCUUUCUCGUUUCCGGGUUUUUUACCAGGAGCAAGAAGCGAUGGGUACCGCUACCCAUGUCGCCGAGAGGAGGUCGUGUUGAAGCGGAACGACGAACAGUAUAGGCAGUCUGCCAGGGACUGGAGCUUUUCUGUAGAGUGCCAACAAGCACACGAACGUUGACUUCCGUUUUGUCUGCGUCAUUUUUCGUGCGGCGGUUAGACGAAUGAAAAUGCGCCACGUCCCUGCAGUUUAAAAUAACGAGCAGCGUGUUGCGUCCGUUUCCGGGGAGCUGUUCCCUCUGUUUCGUCUUCACUUGGGAGAAAGGCUCCGUUUGUCGUCUUUACGGGUUUGGAAGGUAGCGCGCCGAAGAGAUUCCCUCGUGCUUUCUGUGCAAUGUCCUCCUGUUUCCUACCCAGGCGCUCGUAAGAACACCUGCGCGUCCGCCUCGUGCCGAGUCAUGCUUGAGCCGGGACCGUUUUGCAUGCACGGAACAAACAUGUUUUGCAGGAAGCAGAUAGCGAGAAGCCAAGCUAGCGGAGGCAACACUGAGAUCGCCAGUGUUCGCGUCAGCCUCGGGAGCAGCGAUUCUUCUGAAGAGAAGGCGGAGCUCACGAGGCGCAUCCCUAAGCCUUCGCGCGUUUCCGCUUGACUGACGUGCAAUGCGGCUUCAGACGAUUGUAAGCAGAGGAUUAUCGCAGCCAUCUGAAAGCCGAAUUACUGGCAGUCAACCGAGCGGAACCGGGAGCAGAGAAGGCGUGCUCGGAACGCAAGAAAACGCGCCGGUGUGUGAACAGGCUAACUGGAUGGACAGGGCCUGGCCAGUCGGCUCUCUAGUGCCAAGCGUGAGCGUUUAUCAUCGUGUAGCCCUGGCCAGCGACGCGUCGCAUGCGUCACACGAGGAUCGCAUGUCUGCUGGGAGUCGCGCUCCGCGAAGCAGAUGGGCAUGUCGCUGCCUGAGUGCUCUAGGAACGUCGAAGGGUUUCCGCAGUGCAUGCGUGGCCCGCCUAUCGCUUUUUUGACCGACGAACGCGUCUUGGCGAAGACAGGGAGACGGGGCGAGGCUGCACGUUUCCGCCGAGACGCGGUUUGCGCCCGAGGCACUCUUACGGCAUGCGCCCCUCACGAAUAGGAAACAGGACGGAAGCGUCGCCUUUCUUACGCGGACUCAACUCCACACAGGGCGGGCCGCGAAGGCGUCUCGAGCAGUCUUUAACAGCUACAGAAAUCAAAACGAACAACUCGUUUCCGAAGGAUGCUCCCUCGACGCGAGCCUCAUCUGCGCGGAGACUGGGUUGUUCUGUUUCCGGUCUCGCAACAGGCGCUUUCCGCCGCUCCCCGUCACCGCUUUGGGGGCUUCGUCGCCAUUUCCCAUUGGACGUCCUCACGCGGUUGGCCCUUGUGGCUCGUCAGCGCUGCUGCUUCUUUGGUUCCUUCUCCUCUGUCGCCCAGUCUGGCCUUCCCGUUUCGACCGACUCUUUCGACUGAGGGGAGCGAAGCACUGGGCGUGAAGUAUGGACAGAGACGGCGUUCACGUGAGUGAAGGAGAUACGCGGCGAGCGCGCCGAACGAACGUGCGGUCUACAUUCGUUUUCGCUUCGUGGGUUUAGAUGGGCGUAAGUGUUUCCGACGCAUUUAGCGGAGCAACGAGGCCGUGCCUUCAGAGCAACCGAGACCGAGCCGCGCGGAGAGGGUGGAGUGCACAUCGGCCGCGAUAACUCUACACACGUAGAGAUAUGCAGAUGUAUUCAGUCGCCCAAGACGGUUGCCGUCCUGUGCCUUUCCUCCCUAGGCCGAGCCGAUCCGCAAAAAUUGAGGAUCUCGUACGUGUAUCUGCUUCAUGCUACCUAUCUCUACAGAAGGCCGAGGCGAAGGUAAGUUCCUGCGCAGGAUGCGAUAGGUCAAAUAAAGAGCGUCGGGGCGGCGACAGGUAGCACAGACUGUGUGGGACACUGUCGAGAGCAGCGUAGAGGUGCUUUGAAAUAAUAGGCGUGUCUGACACACGUCUCAAUUCUUACCGAAAUCGAUACGCGUUUCCCUCCGCAUGGUCUGAUAUCCAACACUCUCCACAGAAGGUAGGAUUCAGAACCCGAUUCAGUAUGUGACCUAGAGUGCCCAGGCAGGAAAGUGUAGCGCCACAGCGUGCGAGUGGGGUCGAGGUGCUUUGAAAUAAUCGGCGUGUCCGACACACGUCUCAAUUCCUACCGAAAUCGAUACGCGUUUCCCUCCGCAUGGUCUGAUAUCCAACAGUCUCCACAGAAGGUAGGAUUCAGAACCCGAUUCAGUAUGUGACCUAGAGUGCCCAGGCAGGAAAGUGUAGCGCCACAGCGUGCGAGUGAGGUCGAGGUGCUUUGAAAUAAUAGGCGUGUCUGACACACGUCUCUUUUCUUACCGAAAAUCGAUACGCGUUUCCCUCCGCAUGGUCUGAUAUCCAACAGUCUCCACAGAAGUCUCCACAGAAGGUAGGAUUCAGAGCUCGAUUCAGUGUAUAACCUGGAGGGUGUCUGGGCCCGGCAGCAUAGUUUAUUUUUGAUGAGCCGUGAAAAAGCACAGUGUGUUAGCUGAGGGAGUCCUGCUUUGUCUGAGGCUGUUGAGCGUUCGCGCUGCUCCUGGAGGUGUUCGCCCACGUCCCGAAUCCCUGUUCUGCUGCAUAUGCAUGCGUAGAUACACACACGUGCGCUCGUGUUGAAACGCAAGCAUAACAUGGAGACUUGCUUUCCUUUGGGGAUGUGACACACCCACAGGAGUUGGUUGCUGCGCCUGUCUGAAUCGCUGCUCGACAGGCCAAUUAAGAGAGUUCGAGAUCGACCGAGACGGUCACUCCUCGAUCUGUCCCUCUCUCUCUGUUUUUCCGUUGCGAUGCGCCCUCCUGCGUCGUGCGGGAGCAGAGCUUGUUCGGCGACAGACGGGUUUGGCCGAUACGGAAAUUGAGGGGACGUGAUUUGAAUGACUUCACUUAGCCCACGUUCUGCGCGGGUGUGACCUCCCCUCGGAAACGCUGCUCCAACUUACUGGUGCAGAAAGAAUUGCAAAAUGCAGCGGGUGUUUGGAACUUGCCCAAGCCGCUGUCCGGACAUCCAUGUUUCUCCAUCCGUCGUGUUCGUUUGAUCCCUUUUGUUGGCUCUACGCUAGGAUGCAGGCUCAUUUGGGGCAGUCGAUGAGCGUACAAGUCGCAAGGAGGGGUGCAAAUAGCUUCACUGUUCGAUGUGUCGUGUACAAUAAAAUCAUUUCCGCAUCGUUGCGCCUAUGGCAUGGUUACAAUCCGGGAGACACCUCACUGGGUCUCUCUCUUCUGCGCUUGUGGCUCUAUCGCUGAGGCGACCUCGAAAUGCCGUUGUACAAUUACACGCCCGUUCCGCUCUUUUCUCGCAAGUCAUAACCGUGCAUUCUGUUGUGGUCUGUUGUUCCACGUUAUAUCGGAAAAGAUGGCCAUCUGCGGAAGGAGGCAAAACGGAGGGAGAGAGCGAAGGUUUCGACACUGCCUUUCCAACGUGUGUACGGAACCCUCGUCUUCGCCUUCCGCUUCCUCCUGUGUUUUCCCUAUUUGUCAUCUUGCAUCCUUUACGGCUCUGUAUAUUUUCAUGUUCUUGGCUACGGCAUUCACCAUCCAUCAUUUCACAGGCAUAUGCCCACUGCACGCCCAUCUCGACAUGGCUUGCUUGCCACUCCGCAGAUUCUUCCGUCGUUCUGUGUCUGCUUGUGUGGACAAGAAGUUCCGUUCCGGUUUGUUUUGUCGCAUUCAAUCUAUCACCAUCCGAGACCCUCUGCCGCGUGCACCCCGGCCAGUCCCCGAGCUGCGGGUAGCAAAAAACCGACAACCCGCAAUUCCCG